UUCAUCGGAAAUGGGUACAAUUUUAAACCCUUUAACGAGUUUUUUAUGAGAGGGCAGUCUGGUGCCAGCAGCCGCGGUAAUUCCAGCUCUCAAAGGCAUAGAAUUAUUGUGCGGUUAAAAAGCUCGUAGUUGGAUCUGUGCCAUAGGACGUGGUCCACCUUCGGGUGCGUACUACGCUCCUAGGCUUUUUGCUGGUUUUCCCGUCGUAGCCUUCACUGGUUGCGGCGGGUGGCUGGCGAGUUUACUUUGAGAAAAUCAGAGUGCUCAAUACAGGCGUAUCGCUUGAAUGAUUGUGCAUGGAAUAAUAGAAAAGGAUUUCGGUCCUCUUUUAUUGGUUUUGUGGACUGAGAUAAUGGUUAACAGGGACAAACGGGGGCAUUCGUAUCUCUGCGUGAGAGGUGAAAUUCUUGGACCGUAGAGAGACGCCCUACUGCGAAAGCAUUUGCCAAGAACGUCUUCAUUAAUCAAGAACGAAAGUCAGAGGUUCGAAGGCGAUCAGAUACCGCCCUAGUUCUGACCGUAAACGAUGCCAACUAGCGAUCCGCCGGUGGAUUUUUAGCCCUGGUGGGUAGCUUCCCGGAAACGAAAGUCUUCCGGUUCCGGGGGAAGUAUGGUUGCAAAGCUGAAACUUAAAGGAAUUGACGGAAGGGCACCACCAGGAGUGGAGCCUGCGGCUUAAUUUGACUAAGGGC
rnacentral:rRNA from 1 species